GGUGAAGAAAGGGCCGGGCAAGACCGGUGCCAGCCGCCGCGGUAAUACCGGCGGCUCGAGUGGUGGCCACUAUUACUGGGCUUAAAGCGUUCGUAGCUGGUCUGUUAAGUCUCUGGGGAAAUCUACUGGCUUAACCAAUAGGCGUCUCAGGGAUACUGGCAGACUAGGGACCGGGAGAGGUGAGAGGUACUCCAGGGGUAGGAGUGAAAUCCUGUAAUCCUUGGGGGACCACCUGUGGCGAAGGCGUCUCACCAGAACGGCUCCGACAGUGAGGGACGAAAGCUGGGGGAGCAAACCGGAUUAAAUACCCGGGUAGUCCCAGCCGUAAACGAUGCGCGUUAGGUGUAUCGGUGACCACGAGUCACCGAGGUGCCGAAGAGAAAUCGUGAAACGUGCCGCCUGGGAAGUACGGUCGCAAGGCUGAAACUUAAAGGAAUUGGCGGGGGAGCACCACAACAGGUGGAGCCUGCGGUUUAAUCGGACUCAACGCCGGAAAUCUCACCGGAUAAGACAGCUGGAUGAUAGUCGGGCUGAAGACUCUACUUGACUAGCUGAGAGGAGGUGCAUGGCCGUCGUCAGUUC
rnacentral:rRNA from 1 species